UUCCGCCUCUCCCGAGUGAUUUAAGAGGGUUCGGGACCCAGAUAAGACCCCGCCCUUGCAGCCACGACCCCGGAACGGGAGGAGGAGAGAGGCGGCCUCAGCCCUGCAGAGCCAAGCCUUUGGAAAAACAGGCAGCUCCUCCCCAGCGGCCAGCGGCGGCCCAGGCUGGGCGAGCGGCGCGUCGGAGCCGGUGCGCGCCCAGCGGCUCCCAGGACAUUGUAUCUUUGUAAAUGUGGGUUUUCAUCAAUUGAUGUGACAAGAAGCAAAUAACUCCUGUAAAUCAAGGUGGAACAGGAAAUGAGAGUUGAUGUCCGAUGUCCCAUGUGAUUGCAAGGUCUGAGAAGAUGCACAGAUACCAUUAAAAUAGCAGGGGAAUUAUAAGAAGUUAAAAUCCACAAGGACACAAAGAACAGAAAAAGGAGGGAAUGGGAGAUGAGCGACAGAAGUCUGGAAGAUGAACAGCACGUAAUUCAUGACUGCGGAGAAAAGAGGAAGUGGAAACAUGAAUCUUCAAAAAGAGACCAGCGGACUCAACCACAGGACCUUGGAACGGCUCAGGAUUCAUUGGUACCACGUCCUUCCAAAGAUGAGGAAACCAAGCCGUUCGUCCGAGCUCUCACAGCCAACCAGAGAAAGGAUCCAAACCAUGCCAUGUGUGGUUCUGAGGAGGCAAAUAUUAUCCUGCCCAUUUUACAGAUGAGAAAACUGAGGUCUCAAGACUGAAGUGACUUGCCUGGCUCACGCAGGAAGCGGCUUAGCCAGAAUUCCAGCCCAGGUUUGUCUGACCUCCAAGUCCAUGCUCUUGACAUCACCUGCUCCCACCUCCCCCUCUGGGAGUGGUGGGCCUUGGUUUACAAAGGAUGAGAGAGAAGAAACCAGAGAAGGCGCUGAGCAGAGGUAGAGGCCCCUUCCAAAGCCCCAUGCCUAAUUUUGUUUUUUGUAAUUGUGUUUUCUCUACCUUUUUUAUCUUUAGUUUAUUUAUUUAUUUUGAGAGAGAGACAGAGAGAGA